rnacentral:tRNA from 1 species
GCCGAAGUGGUGAAAUUGGUAGACACGCCACCUUGAGGGGGUGGUGAGCGCAUGCUCGUGGAGGUUCGAGUCCUCUCUUCGGCACCA